rnacentral:rRNA from 1 species
UACGGAGGGUGCGAGCGUUGCUCGGAAUCACUGGGCGUAAAGCGUACGCAGGCUGUUUCGUAAGUCGGGUGUGAAAGCCCGGGGCUCAACCCCGGAAUUGCGCCCGAGACUGCGGAGCUUGAAUGCGGGAGAGGGAAGCGGAAUUCCUGGUGUAGAGGUGAAAUUCGUAGAUAUCUGGAGGAAUACCGGUGGCGAAGGCGGCAUCCUGGACCGACAUUGACGCUGAGGAGCGAAAGCUAGGGGAGCAAACGGG